UGAAUACGAGACGCUAAGGCGUCGAAGUAGUGUAUGUCAUACUUCCAAGAAAAGCUUGCACUGUCAUAAGUAAAAAAUGCCUGUACCAUAACCGACACAGGUGGGUAGGUAGAGUAUACUAAGGGGCGCGAGAUAACUCUCUCUAAGGAACUCGGCAAAAUAACUCCGUAACUUCGGGAGAAGGAGUACCUUAUUCUAUAAGGUUGCAAUAACAAGAUCCAAGCAACUGUUUAUCAAAAACACAGGUCUCCGCUAAGUCGUAAGACGAUGUAUGGGGGCUGACGCCUGCCCAGUGCCAGAAGGUUAAAGAAGUCGGUUAGCAUUAGCGAAGCUGGUAACUGAAGCCCUGGUGAACGGCGGCCGUAACUAUAACGGUCCUAAGGUAGCGAAAUUCCUUGUCGGGUAAGUUCCGACUCGCACGAAAGGCGUAAUGAUUUGGAUACUGUCUCGGAGAGGGGCUCGGUGAAAUAGACUUGUCUGUGAAGAUGCGGACUACCUGCACCAGGACAGAAAGACCCUAUGAAGCUUUACUGUAACUUGAAAUUGAAAUUGGACUUUAUUCGCGCAGUAUAGGUGGGAGGUGUUGAUUAUAAUCUUGCGGGAUUAUUGGAGCCAUCAGUGAGAUACCACUCUUGUAAUGUUAGAUUUCUAACUUUGAAUCAUUAUCUGGUCAAAGGACAGUUUCAGGCGGGCAGUUUGACUGGGGCGGUCGCCUCCCAAACGGUAACGGAGGCGUACAAAGGUUUCCUCUGAACGGGUAGAAAUCGUAUCUAGAGUGUAAAGGCAUAAGGAAGCUUGACUGUGAGACCUACAAGUCGAACAGGGACGAAAGUCGGUCUUAGUGAUCUGACGGUACUGAGUGGAAAGGCCGUCACUCAACGGAUAAAAGUUACUCUAGGAUAACAGGCUGAUCUCCCCCAAGAGUUCACAUCGACGGGGAGGUUUGGCACCUCGAUGUCGGCUCAUCGCAUCCUGGGGCGGUAGUACGUCCCAAGGGUUGGGCUGUUCGCCCAUGAAAGCGGUACGCGAGCUGGGUUCAGAACGUCGUGAGACAGUUCGGUCCAUAUCCGGUGUAGGCGUUAGAAUAUUGAGAGGAGCCUUCUUUAGUACGAGAGGACCGAGAAGGACAUACCUCUGGUGUACCAGUUAUCGUGCCAACGGUAAACGCUGGGUAGCUAUGUAUGGAGUGGAUAACCGCUGAAAGCAUCUAAGUGGGAAGCCCACCUCAAGAUAAGUAUUCUCAUC
rnacentral:rRNA from 1 species